GGCAGUUUUUGGGGAACCUGCUGAUGCAGAAGAAACGGGCCCAAAUGGUGUUCGCCUGAGAGCCGCUAUAGGCUGUCAAGCCAUACCACUCGAGCCGCUGCCUGGAACUGUGAAACCGCCAGACCAUGACCCAUUGGUUCGGCUGCUGUGCUUCCGCAGUCUGAGCAAAUGCUACAAGCUACCCUCUACUUUAAGAGGGUCUCCUGGCUAAGAGUUGCCUGUUGGAGGAGCAGACUGCAUUUCCAUGGAACCCAAUCAACCAAACUGAGUCGGACUCCAGAACAGAUCCAAACCCACGUCCCCUACAUUCCUAUGAGCCAACAUAUGUGGCAAAUUAAUCUAAGUUGACUGUGGGGGGCAGCCGGAGCACCCGGAGAGAACCCACGCAUACACAGGGAAAACAAACCUCAACGAGAAGGACCUCAGGCUGGACCAAGGACCUUACUGCUGUAAGUUAACUGAGCUGAAGAGUGUUCCACUGUGCAGCCCCUGCUUUUUCAUGUCUUUGUUUAGUUUAUUUUAAUUUUUUAGGG